rnacentral:rRNA from 1 species
CCUACGGGCGGCAGCAGUGGGGAAUAUUGGACAAUGGGGGCAACCCUGAUCCAGCCAUGCCGCGUGUGUGAAGAAGGCCCUCGGGUUGUAAAGCACUUUCAGUGAGGAAGAACGCCUGGUGGUUAAUACCCAUCAGGAAAGACAUCACUCACAGAAGAAGCACCGGCUAACUCCGUGCCAGCAGCCGCGGUAAUACGGAGGGUGCGAGCGUUAAUCGGAAUUACUGGGCGUAAAGCGCGCGUAGGUGGCUUGAUAAGCCGGUUGUGAAAGCCCCGGGCUCAACCUGGGAACGGCAUCCGGAACUGUCAAGCUAGAGUGCAGGAGAGGAAGGUAGAAUUCCCGGUGUAGCGGUGAAAUGCGUAGAGAUCGGGAGGAAUACCAGUGGCGAAGGCGGCCUUCUGGACUGACACCGACACUGAGGUGCGAAAGCGUGGGUAGCAAACAGGAUUAGAUACCCCUGUAGUC